rnacentral:tRNA from 1 species
ACUAGGGUGGCCAAGUGGUUAAGGCAUUGGACUUAUGUUACAAUGGAUGUAUGUCCACGUGGGUUCAAACACCACUCAUGGUG